CGGGGUGUGGCGAAGUUUGGUAUCGCGCACGGUUCGGGACCGUGAGGCCAAGGGUUCAAGUCCCUUCACUCCGACCA
rnacentral:tRNA from 1 species